CAUCUCACCUGCACAUGGACAAAACCUUUAAUACUUGCAUGUUAUGGGAUGCAAUAAAUAAUGAAUACGUAAGGAGUUCGGCGUCUCACACUUUUCAUGUCGUCUGACAGGAUCAGUCUGGGAUGUGCAGUGUUGGAGUCCAGAGUUACGUCCACUGUGUUGAAGGUGGAACCUGUUUAGUGUACAGGUGGUUGUCACCAUUUCUACAGUGUGGAUACAAAAAGAGGCCGACGUCUGACUGUCCCUGAACGCAUCAAAGCUUUAGGCUGACGAUCUCGUCGUCUUUGCUGCGUGAACCAGGCUUUAGGUUCAAACCUCUCACCUGUUUCUGCAACACUCCUGAGUUCUGCCUGGAACCUUUCCACCAGAGCGACCAUCGACCUAUAGAUGGUCCCUGUUCCCAGAUCAGUGUUCAGCGACACCCUGGACCAGUCUUUAGCAGGUGGGAGACUGGUGACAAUGGGGAACGUCUGAAAGGCCGGUGGAACGAGAGGCGCACUGCACGAGGUCGUCGGACUGGGCGAGCCGAGCGAGGGCGCUGCCUCUGCUCUGGAGCUCCUCCACCUCCAGCUCCAGCUGUCGUAUCGUGGCUCUGGCCUGGUGUUCGGCCGCUCUGCAGUUCAUCUCCAUCACCUCCAUGAGCUCGGCCUGCGAGCGCUCGGCGGCCGACACCAGCGCCGAAAACAGGCACACGCUGCCGGCCGUCUCUCGUUCCACCGCCAGCUAGGAGUCGUUGAGAGAAUAAGGUGGUUACAAGGACCCCUCAAAUCUUCUCUGCAUCUAAACCUGCGCUGACAGUGAUCAACAAAGUGUUUCCAGACGGAGGUGAAUCAACUUUACUGGGAGGUGGUGGCUGCUCGCUGCUCCGCUCACGGUGAACCUUCUCCGGCCGCUGGAAUGAGCGAAAGGCGGUGGAGGCGACGCAGAGGUGUGGUUCAGGGCAGCGAGUGGACCGUGGUUGGGCUCCAGAGACGGCAGCGAGGUGGUGACGGGCGAACAGGAUACCUGGAUGGAGUGAUCUUUCAAAAGGAUCGAGAGAACACACGAGUAGCGACAAGUCUUCAGUUUAUGUGCAGACUUGGUUUGAUUCGUUCUACUCACCUUGGAAGUGAUCGUCUGUGAUCGUCACCGCCUGCGAGUUCUGAAGAGACCGGUGCAGCUUCUUCUUCAGUUGGUUCAGUAGGUUUUUUGGCAUUCCCCCAUGUCCUCCUCCACCUCCGGUUAACCCUUUGCUCUCCCUCCCCACCACCUCGUCUCCUCCUUCCGCUCCACUCAUGGAUCGGAACUGCUCCGUGAUCUCUCUGAGGGUCCUGUUGAUGUGGAGGUCCGGCCGCUUGUGGAAGGUUUUCUUGCAGAGAGGACACUGGCACACCUGAGAGGGAGAAUGCGUGGCGAGGAGAGGAAACAAGGAGGCAAAGAAGGAGUCAAGAACAAAAAUGGCUAAAGCCCCAAAUGCCAAAUUUAAUCCAACACCUUUUUUUUUCCACAAUCACACACCUUCAGUCCCUCCCAGUAUCUGCUGAUGCAGCCCAUGCAGAAGCUGUGGCCGCACGGCGUAGACGAAGGGUUGGUGAACACAUCGAGGCAGAUGGAGCACUGGAACUGCUCGUCAGACAGAAAACUCCCGUACAGCGGCAUGCUGGGAAAGAAACGGUGAAACCAGUAACUCACUGCACAUGUGUACGAUCACUUAGCACUGAAACGUUUAUCAAAUAAAUUCAAACAAACACGUAAUCUCAAACACAACAUCAACGCUCUAUUCUACAAAACUACAAAAUUGUAGUAGUUCUAACAUAUUUUCAUUAGAUUCUAAAUAUUUUCCAUGAGCAUUCAUUAUUAAAGGAAGAAAGAGCUGAUACCUUAGUGCAGCUGGGAUGGCUGAGGUGAAAGCAGCCAUGAGAAGCCGUAGGUUGAACGUGUGUCUCCUCCACGGGCUGUGACGAGCGCUGAAAUAUAAGAGGCGUGCACGUGGGUGUUUCCGUACGAAGGCUGCGAUUAGCAUUUCCUGCGGAAGCGACGGCCACGCCGCUCCCACGCAGCGUGCGCGGAGUUUUCCGAGCACGGGUGGCAGGACUGGUUUACGCUGGGAGAAAGGCAGAGGCGAGCACGCGGCAGACACAGUGAUAAUAAUAAUAAUAAUAACAAACUGUCAACAGUGUUUUCAUAUUCUGGGUGAAGGGGCAUGAAAUAUAAUAAGGAACUUUCCUUAGAGUUUAGAGGCAUAAACACAGACACGCACACACACACACAUUCUUUACUAGGCAUAUCUGUUUAAUUCCAGGUGCCAACUCUACUGUAGAAGCCAGAGAAUGUAUGUAGGCUAAGGGUAAAGAAUGAGGUCAGCUGGACUCAGGCCUGUCACCUUGAACUCAGACACAAAGUCGACCAGAUAUGGGUCACUGAAAUAGGUUUGUACACAUGAAAAUGUAUACGUGUCAUGACAAACCCACAGAGGACGCUCACCUGGAUGUCCAAGUCCUUUUAGUUGAGUCUCGUUUAACUCAUUUUAGCUAACGCAUACAUGUUUGCUGAUCUUUAAGUUGGCAGGUUGAAGUUUUGCACUGUUGGUUGUGUGGUAGAUUUACCUACUGGUGAUUUCCUAUCAUUUAGUACCUUCUUAGUGGAGUGCUGGACUUGGGGUAAUCAUUACUCAGACCCAUCGUAUCCCUUCAGCUCAUUUUCAUAUGUUAAAAAUCCUCUCAACAACUCGCACAACACAACAGCGUUUGCAGUUUCCGGGCAACAACUUCAACCAAACAGAGUGCGAUGAUGUACGUGAAGGCUCAGUGAUGGCACAAACGAAAUUCGCUCAUCUUGGCGUCGCUGCUUGUUCUUCACAGUCAUGGUGAAGCAGUGGGAAACCUGCAUCCACAUACCUUUGUGUUUGUGGCCUGGUUUUCAUCUUCUUUGUCACAGAAUCAGCGACAUCUCGCAUUCAUUCCAUCGAUCAUUCCUUUCAGCUACUGAUGGCCUAUCUCUAGAGUCAGAUGAGUUGACAUCACGUACCCAAACAAAUGCUGGCCUUUGUCACAGAAAGCUUCCUUAACCACGCUGUGAAAUAUUCCCACCCAUCCCCUAAAAGAGAACAGGUAACUUACCUUCAGGUCAAGUCAGGUAUGUCUGAUUGUAUUUACUGAAAUAUAAUUACGUUCAUUCUAGUUCUGAUAAAAUUGUUGUGAUGCAACAAAUGUCCUUGUUGUGUUCAUACUGUACAUAACAUAAUGGGUUGCAUGUUCCUAACAAUGUAUUUGUGAUUGUAGUACAGUUAUUUGCGUAGUUCGUUUAGACUGGGUUAUUUGUUCAGUUGCUCAAUUGUUUUUUGAAUAGUUUAUGUAGAACAUGAGAUCAGAUAACUCAUAUCAGCCCAUAACUUACCGAUAUUUCAUUUGGAGAAUACAAAAUGUGCCUUUAUAAUUAAAUAAAUAAACAAAAACA